UCCCUCUCCAGUCAUGCUGCCGUAGCAAUAAAAUGCAUGCACGCAGUCAUGCGCACGUGGGGGAGGGGUUGGUGAUGUUGGUGGCACAUUGUUUGUGGCUGGGGGGCCUGGGGGAUGGUGUGGGGGACCCCUGAGGCUGACACUAGAUAAGUGAGUUAGACUCCUCCAUACAAUCUAUGGCUGACAGAUUUCGGGAGCGUGGCUACACUCCUGAGGUGAUUGAUCAAGCAUUUACAAAGGUAAAAACAAAUGUAGAAAGGACAGACUCCACUAACUUGGCAUCAUUUGCAGACAGAUGCUAUUUUAGGCACUUCGUGUCAGGAGGGGCCCAUGUUGCAUACAAAAGAGGAAAAAAUUUGAAAGACCAUUUGGUGAAGGCAAAUAACAAAUUACAUUACACAUCUCCUCAUUUCUUGAGCAAUCCACAACCGGGCAAUUACAGGUGUUUUAAUUGUUCAGUCAGUGCCGGUUUUAGGCCGAUUGGACCAAUUGGGCCCAAUCGGGCCCCGCGCCUGUGGGGGCCCCGCAGUUCCGCACCAUGGCAACUAGGCAAGAGGAACUAGGAAAUGCUUUUACUUCCUCGUCCCCAACAAUGAUCACUUGUGCGCUUGACAGAUCAGCUGUACAGAUGUCCCAAAAUGCUUUCCGUACAGCUGGCUCCGUUCUGGUUACUUCACAUGCUGUGUGAAGCCCCUCCUACCUGUGAAUGUGAUCUUCCUGUCUCCAGACUUGGCUGCGUCAGGCAAGAGUAAGUGGUAAGAAUAGUAGAGGAACGGAAGAGCUGCAGCGAUCGAAUUACUAACUCGCUUACAGUGAUUUAAACUUCCCGCCCCCACACAUUGAGUCCUUAUCUGAAGGGACGGGGAAGAAUUUUUAUCACUCUACGCUCUGGAAACACAUGUUGGCUAGUUACUUUGCUAAAAUCCCUCUUCCCCCACCCAAACUGUCAGUGCAGGAAGAACUGAUGCUGACUAGAUGAGAGGUUUUUUAUGGAUUCUCUUGCUCAGCCUCUACAUAUGCCUUGAUCUCCUGCUUUCGAUGGACUGCUUCAAGAAUAACAUUUGACAGUAUUCAUUACAUUCUGUAUAAUCCUGCUUGAUCCUGCUUGAUCCAACUGGAUUUUCAAGAGACGUUUGGCUAUUUCCUUAAGUUAAGAUAACGUCAGGAGAAUGAUCCGCAUCUUCAAAUGUUAGAUGUGGGACUUACGCUAUAUUGGAACGCAUUUGCGUUCCACCAGGAUACUAGGUGACGCUGCUUCACCCCCCACGAGUAGAGGGGCGGAAGUGACGUCAGACGCCGGAUUCCUAUCGUAUGGACUCAGCAUGGACUAUAAAAUGAUACAGACAGUCAUGCUGCUGUGGAUGCUGCUGUGGAUGCUGCCACUGCUCCAGCUGCAGCAAUUGGGGGACCACCACAGCAGAAAGAAUGGCUACUGGGUGAGAGAACUGCGGGCCAACAGGGCAGGUAGAUGCAAUUAUGGCUGCUAUGGAGCCAACUUUGUGACCACUUACCAUCCAUUCGAGCAUCCAGGACCUCGUGGCAGUUGUCCAAGCCCAGCCUUACCGACCAGAGGACUCUGCUGAGGGUCAAGUCCCUGGUCCUUCUGCUGCUCCCGCUCCCCCUCCAUCCCCACCCCUGAAGCUCCUCAACAGCAGAGAGGAAGGGGGUGUGGAAGGGGAGAAGGUCCUGUCCCACGGGACAAGCACAAACAUCUCUAGCUCCAGUCUGUGUCACUUUCCAACUAACACUAGCCUCUUUGUCCAUUUUAUCCCAACUUUGCCCUAUUUACGCUUCAGUUGUGAUUUUGUCCGUUACCCAGCAAUGACUCCCAAACUUCACAUCCCAUUGUUUACACCAUGCUGCAGUCUCGUCACUGAGAGGUGCCAUUUUAACAUCUAUUGGCACCCUUUCCAAAAACAUCUGGAAAAGCAUUUAAAAACAUCUAAAUGCAUUUGCUCUAACAUAUGAAUAUACUCAUGGUGUUAUCAGCACCAAGGUGUGCCAUAUCUAACAUCCAUUGACGCCCUUUGCAAAAACAUCUGGAAAAAGCACUUACAAACAUCUAAAAGUGCAUUUGCUCUAACAUAUUUCCAUGGUGAUGCUGCAGUGUUGCCCAAAGCAUUCUUGGCCAAAAAAUGUUACAUGUAAGGGUCGAUUGAUUCUAAUCAUUGCAAGCAUAUGACUACACUUUUUAUUGUGUAUUUAUCACUAGUGCAGUGUUGCUUCAAAGGUAACAUAUGCUCAAUAUCAAACGCUGUAUGGAUGUGUUUUACAUGUUAUGUGCAUUCAUGUAACGAUAGCCUACUGUAUGUUCAUGCAACUGUCAACAAUUUAAAGUAAAAUAAGUGUACCUUGUGCUUUGCACUAUGAACUAUUGUUGGCUACCUAUGACCUACUUUGGCUACCCAGCACUCAUAAUAUGUGCUAAUGCCUGCUACUACUACCUCCUCCUCCUCCAGCCUGUGCUACUUAAAUAGCAAGUCACAGGUGUAUGGUAGCGUUGGUUAUUACUUUGCACUUACAAGUAUUGAUGGCUACCUAUGGCCUACCAAACACUCAUAGUAUGCGAUAAUGCCUGCUACCACUACUUCCUCUUCCAGCCUGUGCUACUUAAAUAGCAAAUCACAGGUGUAUGGUACUUACAAGUAUUGAUGGCUGUCCAUCACAUUCCCUUGCCAGCACUAAUCUCAUAUUGUUGAUAUUUUCAAACAGGCCAGAUUGUCAUUUAUUGACAAGUGUCAUUUGUAUAUCAUAUUGAUUGUUAUUAUAUUCUUGUUUUGUACACAAGGCUUCUCGAUGCCAAACUUUUUUUGUCCUCUUUAAAGGGAAUCUGUCGUCAUUUUAAACUUUUUUUUGCAUUUUUAUAAAAAACACACAUCCAU